UAAUUCCUACGGGAGGCAGCAGGGAGGAAUAUUGGUCAAUGGACGCAAGACUGAACCAGCCAUGCCGCGUGCAGGAUGACGGCUCGAUGAGUUGUACACUGCUUUUGUACGAGGGUAAACCCCGAUACGCGUAUCGGGUUGAAAGUAUCGUACGAAUAAGGAUCGGCUAACUCCGUGCCAGCAGCCGCGGUAAUACGGAGGAUCCGAGCGUUAUCCGGAUUUAUUGGGUUUAAAGGGUGCGUAAGCGGUUUGAUAAGUUAGGUGUUAAAUGU
rnacentral:rRNA from 1 species